rnacentral:rRNA from 1 species
GACGAACGCUGGCGGCGUGCUUAACACAUGCAAGUCGAACGGAAAGGCCCUGCUUUUGUGGGGUGCUCGAGUGGCGAACGGGUGAGUAACACGUGAGUAACCUGCCCUUGACUUUGGGAUAACUUCAGGAAACUGGGGCUAAUACCGGAUAGGAGCUCCUGCUGCAUGGGGGGGGUUGGAAAGUUUCGGCGGUUGGGAAUGGACUCGCGGCUUAUCAGCUUGUUGGUGGGGUAGUGGCUUACCAAGGCUUUGACGGGUAGCCGGCCUGAGAGGGUGACCGGCCACAUUGGGACUGAGAUACGGCCCAGACUCCUACGGGAGGCAGCAGUGGGGAAUAUUGCACAAUGGGCGGAAGCCUGAUGCAGCAACGCCGCGUGCGGGAUGACGGCCUUCGGGUUGUAAACCGCUUUCGCCUGUGACGAAGCGUGAGUGACGGUAAUGGGUAAAGAAGCACCGGCUAACUACGUG